rnacentral:rRNA from 1 species
UGGCUCANGAUGAACGCUGGCGGCACGCUUUNNACAUGCAAGUCGAACGGANAUAANGGAGCUUGCUUCUUUAUCUUANUGGCGGACGGGUGAGUAACACGUGAGCAACCUACCUUCAAGCGGGGAAUAAUGGAGGGAAACUUCCACUAAUACCCCAUAAGAUAGUAUUUCCGCAUGGAGAAGCUAUCAAAGAUUUAUUGUUUGAAGAUGGGCUCGCGUCCGAUUAGCCAGUUGGUGAGGUAACGGCCCACCAAAGCGACGAUCGGUAGCCGUACUGANAGGUAGAACGGCCACAUUGGGACUGAGACACGGCCCAGACUCCUACNGGAGGCAGCANUGGGGAAU